UUUUUGUUUGUUUGUUUGUUUUGAGACGGAGUUUUGCUCUUGUUACCCAGGCUGGAGUGCAAUGGCACGAUCUCGGCCCACUGCAACCUCCGCCUCCUGGGUUCAGGUAAUCCUCCUGCCUCAGCCUCCUGAGUAGCUGAGAUUACAGGCACGCGCCACCAUGCCAAGCUAAUUUUUUGUAUUUUUAGUAGAGACGGGGUUUCACCAUGUUGACCAGGAUAGUCUCCAUCUCUUGACCUUGUGAUCCACCUGCCUCAGCCUCCCAGUGAUCCACCCGCCUCAGCCUCCCAAUUAAGUUUUUAAAAUUUUUUUUUGACAUGAAAAGACUGCUUCAAAACUACUAGCCAUGAACUGUUUUUCCAUGUUCUUUCAUCAAACACGACUUCCUUUUAAUACAAAAUUAAAGGUGAUUCAAGCCAUCACCUCUACUAUCUAAAGAGAUCCGUGAAAGAGAGAAUGAAAUUAUAUUUUUGGGGAAGGCAACAUUUUGUUUAUUUGGGGUGCAAAGUUAGCAUUCCCUAGCAUCAAAAUCGAUUGCAAAUGUUAAUCUGUUAGUGCCGAUCUGUAAUGAAAUUUUACAUAUUUCAUCUUUGAAAAUGUCUCUUCACACAAAGAGGUACUGCCAAACAUUUAUAUAAAACCACAAAUAUUUGAUUUUGGUGGAACAUGUUUAUUGUUUGAUAAAGAUUCAGAGAAUGCUAUUAGAUUUUACACUUGAUAUUUGCCUGUUAAGAUCUCAUUACAUUGCAGAAUAAUCACUUUCAAUAGAAGGUUAUAUAAAAGCUCUUCAAAGGCAGCUAAAUGGAUUUUGAAAUGUGGAAAUCACCUUUGCUUUUGUAUCAAAGUCUGAAACAUACCACUGGAACAGAACUGGAACUGUGGCUUGAGAUUGGAAAAUAUUUCUGCUUCAAAUGUGUGUGGGAAGGGUUAUCUUUCUUCUUGUAACUUUUGACAGGAUGAGCAGUGUAUAAAGCUGCUGAUGCUGCUUGUGAUUCAAAUGUUAGUUGUCAUCAAAAUGAGUUUACCACAGGAAAAGUUUCACAUAUAAAUUUUUUUUGCCUUGUAAUCUUAGGUUGAAUUCCUUAAGAAAUAGUAUCAAGCAAUUCCAUAGUCACUCAGUGUUUGAUAAAAAUGGAGGAAUAAAUUUUUCUCAUUCAGAAAACUUUGUCUUCAACCUGAGCUCAGCAACAGUAAUAAAACCUGACUGUUGUGGAGCCCUGGGGCUGCUGUGUGGAGGGCAAGUCAGGACAUGCAGCUUCUAUUUCUAACAAAACUUUAAGGAUAAAGUUAAAUAUACCAGAGUGAAUAAAGUCCAUCAGUGAUGCUGGUGGUUUAAUGACACGUGAUAGAUUCAAGUAUUUUCUACAAAGUAUCUACUGAUAAAUAAUAUAAUACAUAAGUUUUAAAUACUUUACAUUUUCACAAGCAUUGUAAACUUGUUUAAGCUUUUUUCUCCUCAUAUUUUCUUAAUAUGUUUACCACCUGCAGUUGUUAUACAUCUUAGCGGAUUCCACUUCAGAUUGUACUGAAUCUUUGUCUUCCCACAUCGCUUCAGAAUAUUAUUGUGUGCAAUUGUUCGAGGCAGACAAUUCAUAGAGACUAAUUUUCAGUCACUUUACACUAUUCACUCUUAAACAACAACUAAUUAAUAAAAUUUGUUGAGUCAUAGAGUCAAAAAUAAAUAAAUUAAAAAUAAUUUGCCGUCAACACUGAACAUCUCUUCUAGCCACAAACCUGACAGUCCCUUAUGAGCUGAAUUAGCUCUGAUGUAUUUUUUUUGGCUGCUGCAAUCAACCAUGAUUUAAUCAACACACAAUUGGUAAAUGGCUUGUAGCUUGAUUUUUUUUUUUUUUUUUAAUACUGUGUGCUGAGAUGUUCUGUUUUAAUUGUUUUUUUU